rnacentral:rRNA from 1 species
UGGGGAAUAACCAGUCGAAAGGCUGGCUAAUACCGCAUAAUGCAGCGGCACGACAUCGUGACAGUUGUUAAAGCAGCAAUGCGCCUGGAGAGGAGCCUGCGUCUGAUUAGGUAGUUGGUGAGGUAACGGCUCACCAAGCCUGCGAUCAGUAGCUGGUCUGAGAGGACGGCCAGCCACAAUGGCACUGAAACACGGGCCAU